rnacentral:rRNA from 1 species
GGCGUGCCUAAUACAUGCAAGUCGAACGCUUCUUUUUCCACCGGAGCUUGCUCCACCGGAAAAAGAGGAGUGGCGAACGGGUGAGUAACACGUGGGUAACCUGCCCAUCAGAAGGGGAUAACACUUGGAAACAGGUGCUAAUACCGUAUAACAAUCGAAACCGCAUGGUUUUGAUUUGAAAGGCGCUUUCGGGUGUCGCUGAUGGAUGGACCCGCGGUGCAUUAGCUAGUUGGUGAGGUAACGGCUCACCAAGGCCACGAUGCAUAGCCGACCUGAGAGGGUGAUCGGCCACAUUGGGACUGAGACACGGCCCAAACUCCUACGGGAGGCAGCAGUAGGGAAUCUUCGGCAAUGGACGAAAGUCUGACCGAGCAACGCCGCGUGAGUGAAGAAGGUUUUCGGAUCGUAAAACUCUGUUGUUAGAGAAGAACAAGGAUGAGAGUAACUGUUCAUCCCUUGACGGUAUCUAACCAGAAAGCCACGGCUAACUACGUGCCAGCAGCCGCGGUAAUACGUAGGUGGCAAGCGUUGUCCGGAUUUAUUGGGCGUAAAGCGAGCGCAGGCGGUUUCUUAAGUCUGAUGUGAAAGCCCCCGGCUCAACCGGGGAGGGUCAUUGGAAACUGGGAGACUUGAGUGCAGAAGAGGAGAGUGGAAUUCCAUGUGUAGCGGUGAAAUGCGUAGAUAUAUGGAGGAACACCAGUGGCGAAGGCGGCUCUCUGGUCUGUAACUGACGCUGAGGCUCGAAAGCGUGGGGAGCAAACGGGAUUAGAUACCCUGGUAGUCCACGCCGUAAACGAUGAGUGCUAAGUGUUGGAGGGUUUCCGCCCUUCAGUGCUGCAGCUAACGCAUUAAGCA